rnacentral:rRNA from 1 species
UACGGGGGGAGCAAGCGUUGUUCGGAUUUACUGGGCGUAAAGGGCGCGUAGGCGGUCAGCACAAGUCAGUUGUGAAAUCUCCGGGCUUAACCCGGAAAGGUCAACUGAUACUGUGCGACUAGAGUGCGGAAGGGGCAACUGGAAUUCUCGGUGUAGCGGUGAAAUGCGUAGAUAUCGAGAGGAACACCUGCGGCGAAGGCGGGUUGCUGGACCGACACUGACGCUGAUGCGCGAAAGCCAGGGGAGCAAACGGG